rnacentral:rRNA from 1 species
UGGACCCACCUGAAUCCAUUCCGAACUCAGAAGUGAAACGAAAUAGCGUCGAUGGUAGUGUGGGGUUUCCCCAUGUGAGAGUAGAACAUCGCCAGGC